rnacentral:rRNA from 1 species
AAUAGAUACCCCGGUAGUCCACACCGUAAACGAUGAGUGCUAAGUGUUGGGGGGUUUCCGCCCCUCAGUGCUGCAGCUAACGCAUUAAGCACUCCGCCUGGGGAGUACGGUCGCAAGACUGAAACUCAAAGGAAUUGACGGGGGCCCGCACAAGCGGUGGAGCAUGUGGUUUAAUUCGAAGCAACGCGAAGAACCUUACCAGGUCUUGACAUCCCGGUGACCACUAUGGAGACAUAGUUUCCCCUUCGGGGGCAACGGUGACAGGUGGUGCAUGGUUGUCGUCAGCUCGUGUCGUGAGAUGUUGGGUUAAGUCCCGCAACGAGCGCAACCCUUAUUCUUAGUUGCCAUCAUUCAGUUGGGCACUCUAAGGAGACUGCCGGUGAUAAACCGGAGGAAGGUGGGGAUGACGUCAAAUCAUCAUGCCCCUUAUGACCUGGGCUACACACGUGCUACAAUGGACGGUACAAACGGUUGCCAACCCGCGAGGGGAGCUAAUCCGAUAAAACCGUUCUCAGUUCGGAUUGUAGGCUGCAACUCGCCUACA